UAAUCAGGCUUGGAGGAGGGAGGGUAACUGAUGGCUUGUGGUCCCACAGUUUCCUUUGCCCACUGAGGGUGAAGCUGUAUGUCAUGAGUUUAUGAAAUUAGAAGCGGUGACCGGAGGCAUAUGAAGGGCAGUAGAGUUUCACUCGCUUCAUGAGUCUGUCAUAAUUUCUACUGUGACUUCUGCAUCUCUCCCCUUCCCGGCCUCCUACUUCCCUGUCUCUAGGGAUUCUGGCAGAAAAUACCUAGGGGCGCAUGGAUACACCAUCUCAUUCAGUCCUCAGCCUUGUGGUCCCUUCAAGGCUCUGUUUUGGCUCCCAGAGGACGUUUCAUGGACUAACAUCUCUGACGCAACAACCCCUCAGAUUUGACACAGCAAUGAAUGGUGGCCUGGAUUCAGCCCUGGAGUAACCCGGCAUCAGCGCCAGACUCUUCCCUGCAGACCUUGGGCAGACCCCAAAGAGAAGACUCUGCCGUUGCUGGGGUGUGUGUGUGUGUGUGUGUGUGUGUGUGUGUGUGUACGCGCCCGCGCUCAGUCACUCAGUUAUGUCUGACUCUUCUGUGACCCCAUGGACUGCCUGCGAGGCUCCUCUGUCCAUGGGAUUCUCCAGGCAAGAAUACUGGAGCGGGUUGCCAUUUCCUCCUCCAGGGGAUCUUCCUGACCCAGCGCUCUAACCCGCAUCCCCUGCACCACCUGGGGAGCCCGUUGUUGGGGAGGGGGGUGAUAACUGGGAUCCUGGGGUUGACGUGGGUUACAGUAGGGUUUAUACACCUUGACACAAUAAA